UAGUCCACGCCGUAAACGAUGGAUACUAGCUGUUCGUUUCGCCUAGUGCGAAGUGAGUGGCUAAGCGAAAGUGAUAAGUAUCCCACCUGGGGAGUACGUUCGCAAGAAUGAAACUCAAAGGAAUUGACGGGGGCCCGCACAAGCGGUGGAGCAUGUGGUUUAAUUCGAUGAUACGCGAGGAACCUUACCAGGGCUUAAAUGUAUAUUGACAGGGGUAGAAAUACCUUUUCCUUCGGGCAAUUUACAAGGUGCUGCAUGGUUGUCGUCAGCUCGUGCCGUGAGGUGUCAGGUUAAGUCCUAUAACGAGCGCAACCCCUGUUGUUAGUUGCCAGCGAGUAAUGUCGGGAACUCUAGCAAGACUGCCGGUGCAAACCGUGAGGAAGGUGGGGAUGACGUCAAAUCAUCACGGCCCUUACGUCCUGGGCCACACACGUGCUACAAUGGCCGGUACAGAGAGCAGCCACUACGCGAGUAGGAGCGAAUCUAUAAAACCGGUCUCAGUUCGGAUCGGAGU
rnacentral:rRNA from 1 species